rnacentral:tRNA from 1 species
CGGGCAGUAGCGCAGUUGGUAGCGCGCUUGGUUCGGGACCAAGAGGCCGGCGGUUCAAAUCCGCCCUGCCCGA